CCAAAACUCAUAAAACUAAAUUUUUUUCUUCUUUUUCUCUCUACCUCUUCCUCUCCUCCUAUCGACAAAAGAAGACCCUCUUUCUUCCAUCAACGGUCGAAGAAGAAGUAGAAAACUUUGAAAUAUGUCAGGUAUGGAAAGGCUUUAGGGAAUGUUUCGCUGAUGUCGGAGAAGCUUUCAGCAACCCUCCGCCGAAUUCCCCCACUCUUGAUACCUCUGAGCAUAUCUACAUCUUACUCUUGCCCUUCUCAAGAUGCUCAAACAUAGAUUUGUUGUUUGGUUCAGAAUAUUGACUCAGUGUAUUUUUCCUUUGAUCCUUCUUCUCUUGAUGAUGGCUUUAGGAGGGUUAAAGCCUUCUGUACAUGGAAUGCUAAGAAGCUAGAAAAGUGUGUUGAGGCCUUAAUUAGAUCACAUUCCAUAGAGGAUUUAUAUGUAGUAGUACUAUACAAUUUUACUUUAUUUUCUAAAUAAAUGUGACAUAUACAUGUGCUUUAUGGUUUUUUGUAGUUAGAUUAAAGGCAAAUUGAUUUUGUGUUUAAUCUUGUAGAUGUCUCAACUCUCAAGCAUUUUAAUGUAACACUUAAUAUUGUCAUUUAAGGCUUUGAGGUGUUGCAAUUGGAUUUUUAUUCUUGAGUGUUUUGCUUGGAUACAAGCUAUAGA